rfam:Gossypium raimondii Chr12_contig_856, whole genome shotgun sequence.
UAUUAAAAAUUUCAUCUAUUUCUAUUGUUAAAAAUUGGCAUUGCUGGCAAAAUAACCAAACAGCUACGUGUGGCACGUCAUAUGUGCCUCAUUUAGACAUAAAAGGACCAAUUUUUAACAGUAAAAAUAGAUGAAAUUUUUAAUA